CGGUUUUCCGUUGUGCUUGAUCUAACCAUGCGAUGGGGAGCUACGGUAACACCAUGGUUCUGUCAAGCACCACGGGACGCCG
rnacentral:pre_miRNA from 1 species